rnacentral:rRNA from 1 species
GGCUCAGGACGAACGCUGGCGGCGUGCCUAACACAUGCAAGUCGAGCGGAGUUAACAAGAGGAAGUUUCGGAUGGAAUUUGUUAAUUAGCGGCGGACGGGUGAGUAACGCGUGAGCGACCAACCUUGCACAGGGGGAUAACGGACCGAAAGGUUCACUAAUACCGCAUGAGACCACGGUGUUGCAUGACACAGAGGUCAAAAGGAGCAAUCCGGUGCAAGACGGGCUCGCGUCCGAUUAGGUAGUUGGUGGGGUAAUCGGCCCACCAAGCCUAUGAUCGGUAGCCGACCUGAGAGGGUGAUCGGCCACAUUGGAACUGAGAUACGGUCCAAACUCCUACGGGAGGCAGCAGGUGGGGAAUAUUGGGCAAGUACGGGGGAAACCCUGACCCAGCAACGCCGCGUGAAGGAAGUAAGGUUUUCGGAUUGUAAACUUCUGUCCUUGGUGAAGAGAAGAAGACGGUAGCCAAGGAGGAACGCCCCGGCUAACUACGUGCCAGCCGCCGC